rnacentral:rRNA from 1 species
CUACGGGGGGCACCAGUCGAGAAUCUUCCACAAUGCACGAAAGUGUGAUGGAGCGACGUCGCGUGCGGGAUGAAGGCCUUCGGGUUGUAAACCGUUUUUAUAAAGGAAGAAUUUAGAUGACAUUACUUUAUGAAUAAGGGGUUGCUAAUUGCGUGCCAGCAGCAGCGGUAAUACGCAAACCCCAAGCGUUAUCCGGAUUUAUUGGGCGUAAAGGGGUGGGUAGGCGGAUACAGCAGUCAAUCGUUAAAUCACUGGGCUCAACCCAGUAAUCGCGAUUGAAACACUGUGUCUAGAGAUAAGUAGAGGUCAACGGAACUCAUGGUGUAGCAGUGAAAUGCGUUGAUAUCAUGGGGAACACCAAAUGCGAAGGCAGUUGACUGGGCUUUAUCUGACGCUGAGCCACGAAAGUGUGGGGAGUGAAGGGGAUUAGAUACCCGGGUAGUC